rnacentral:rRNA from 1 species
AUGACGCUGGCGGAAUGCUUACACCCUGCAGUCUGUAACGGCAGCAUGGAGAGCUUGCUCUCUGAUGGCGAGUGGCGAACGGGUGAGUAAUAUAUCGGAACGUGCCUAGUAGUGGGGAACAACCAGCCGAAAGGUUGGCUAAUACCGCAUACGACCUACGGGUGAAAGCAGGGGAUCUUCGGACCUUGCGCUAUUAGAGCGGCCGAUAUCUGAUUAGGUAGUUGGUGGGGUAAAGGCCUACCAAGCCGACGAUCAGUAGCUGGUCUGAGAGGACGAUCAGCCACACUGGAACUGAGACACGGUCCAGACUCCUACAGGGAGUGCAGCAGUGGGGAAUUUUGGACAAUGGGGGAAACCCUGAUCCAGCCAUUCCGCGUGAGUGAAGAAGGCCUUCGGGUUGUAAAGCUCUUUCGCAAGGGAAGAAAUUUUAUUGUCGAAUAAACAGUAAAGAUGACGGUACCUUGAGAAGAAGCACCGGCUAACUACGUGCCAGCAGCCGCGGUAAUACGUAGGGUGCGAGCGUUAAUCGGAAUUACUGGGCGUAAAGCGUGCGCAGGCGGUCUUAUAAGUCAGAUGUGAAAUCCCCGAGCUCAACUUGGGAACUGCGUUUGAAACUGUAAGACUAGAGUG